rnacentral:lncRNA from 1 species
GUCAAACGACGACACAUCCUAUCGUUCUUGGAUCAGAUCAAAUAUUGCAGUCGUGGUCCAUCGGCUGCAUCAUGGGAAAGUGCACUAAGCAAGUUCACGCGCUGUUGCUACUUCUUCUCGUAUGCUUCACUAUUCAUGGGCAGUGUAAGUGGCACUCAUAUUUCCCCAACAGUCGAUUAUUUAACUAUCCUUUCAUUUUAAUUCUUUUAUUAGUUUUGAAUAUUGAUGGUUUAUUUGUCUAUAAACUUUUAUAGUUGAAGCCAUCGGUGUCAAUGGCGAGCGUAUUCCUCCGUGGUGCACAAAGAGUGCAACUAUACCAAUCUGCAACCCAGAUAAAUAUAGAUGCUAUUGUUGUGUUCAAAAUUGGCAAUGCUACAAAACAAUGGAUGAGUGCAGAGCCAAGUGUGCAUAUUUACCUCCCUCCUCUUCCUCUGUACUUCCAUGAAACCGGGUUCUUCUCAUGAGCUAGAAGAAAAAUGAAUAGAUCCAGACAAUAAACAAUUUGCUAUGAAUUUAUUGGCAAUUAUUGUUUGCCGUUUUUGGUUGCCGAAACAUACACUUUGCCUGUUUCUUCCUUCCCUCUUUUCUCCUCCGUUUCCCUUGUUUGAGAAUUCCAUGUUCUACUCCAUGCAACAUAUAUAUUGUUCUGUUAGAAAAUAUGCUAGAUCGUAAAUUAACUGAGUAUAUUAAAAGGAAAAGGUUUGAAAACAACCGGCUGAUUUUAACAGGCGCGUAAGCCACCUGCUCGGCCGUCUGAUGACCGCUGAUCGCAAUUUCCCUGGGGCGCACAGCAUUGUGUUCACACGAGGAUGUCUGCCUUUUUCUGUUUGCUGGUCCAUGUUCACACUAGUACGUUGACGUUUCAAGGCACACUAAGUAGCUAGUAUUCACUCUUAUUGCAAAAAAGUGGCAGCUUUGUUACCGCCAAUAACUCAACAAAGGAUGCCAUGCUGGAUGCUUCAAAAUAUUUUAGGCACACUAAAAUAUUUUUUCCCAUGUUGCGUAGUACUUGUGUUGACAUGUUAGAUGUGAAUCUUUCAAGUAGGAUGCAAUUUUUUUCUAUUGCAAAAGCCGAACGGUCGUGUGUGUAGAGCCGAUGCACGACAUUGCAAGGCCGACCACCUCUAUUGCGUGCGGAGCGUAUGUCGCUGCAAGCCAAAUCACAUCGAUGUUGCAAACAGCCACAUACUUCUUUUUGCUCGAAAGCCAGCCACCGCUAGUGUGCAUGAGACACGUGACACGCAAGCGAGAAGUAUGUCGAUGCUACAAGCUUUCCGCUAUAUCCUUUUUUUUGUCUGCUGCAACCUCUUGAGCACAACAUGGGUUAUGAUGUUGCAAAUAAUCGAUCGUAGUUGACGAGUGUUUGCAAUGUGAGCACAACAUGGGUCAUGUUGCAAAUGGUAAGUCACAAUCAUGAAUUGUUUGCAACACGAGCACAACAUGAGUCAUGCAGCAAAUGAUGUGUCGCAACCGAGGAGUGUUUCAACCCAAGCGUAUCAUGGGUCAUGUUGCAAACGACAGGUCAUAGCUGAAUGGCCGAGGAGUGUUUGCCCAAGCGAGCGCAACAUGAUGAGUCAUGUUGAAAACGACAGGUCAUAGCUGAAUGGCCGAGGAGUGUUUGCCCAAGCGAGCGCAACAUGAUGAGUCAUGUUGCAAACGAUGGGCGCUCCUGAGGAGUGUUUGCAAUGCGAGUGCAACAUGGGUCAUGUUGCAAACGAGUGGUCGUAGCUGAAUGGUUGAGGCGUGUUUGCAACACGAACGAGCGCAACAUGAGUCACAGCUGAGUAGUGUUUGCAAUGUGAGCGCAACAUGUGUCAUGUUCCAAACAAUGGGUCGCAGCUGAAUGACCGAUGAUUGUUUACAAUGCUAGCAAGCGCAGCAUGGAUCAUGUUGCAAACCCCUGAAUGCAUGUUGCCAACGAUGAGUCACAAUCAACAUGAGUGUAACAUAAGUCAUGUUGCAAACAAUUGGUCGCAACUAAACGACUGAAGAGUAUUUGCAACGUGUAUCAUGUUGCAAACCCCUGAGGGCAACAUCGAUUACGUUGCAAAUGAUGUAUCGCAGCUAAACAGUUGACGCAGAUCGAAGGACUGUCGCAUGGAUUUAAUUGCUAUGGUGGAUGCAGUUGAUCCGCAUGUUAUAUUCACACAAUGUACAUAGUUUUGCCUUCGUGCUUUUUUUCAUUCAUGGCAGCCUACGUACAAUGAUACAGGAAGCAUACUCAGUAGUCUAGUCAAAAGAGACACCAAAAAGCUACGCACAUGGGCCAUGCACGUAAAAUAAGGCUGGCAGGUAGCGUUGAUCACUGGGCCUUUGAAAUCAUCAACCUCGUUACCUAGGACCCACUAGAGACGUCAGAUCGGAUAGGAUCGAACGGCACACCAGCCGGAUGAUUUCCGUCGAAAAUCAUCCGGAUGACGCUAGUAGUGGCCGGGCGGCCAGCCGAAGAUUAGGCCAGUCGCACGCGAGCCUUGCGACCGUCUCGAUGGUGCGUCACGCAAGCCACGGGAGCGCCCCCGUUCAAAUUGUGUUUUCCACCUUUCCUCUUUCUUCUUGCCCAUGAACGCAGGUCAUUGCAGCCGUUCUUUUCCUCCAUCUCCACCGCCAUGUGCAGCGCACAGGCAUGACGAGACCUUGCUNNNNNNNNNNNNNNNNNNNNNNNNNNNNNNNNNNNNNNNNNNNNNNNNNNNNNNNNNNNNNNNNNNNNNNNNNNNNNNNNNNNNNNNNNNNNNNNNNNNNNNNNNNNNNNNNNNNNNNNNNNNNNNNNNNNNNNNNNNNNNNNNNNNNNNNNNNNNNNNNNNNNNNNNNNNNNNNNNNNNNNNNNNNNNNNNNNNNNNNNNNNNNNNNNNNNNNNNNNNNNNNNNNNNNNNNNNNNNNNNNNNNNNNNNNNNNNNNNNNNNNNNNNNNNNNNNNNNNNNNNNNNNNNNNGAGAGGUUGCGCGCGGCGCUGGUGACCUUCGAUGGCGACGAUGCUGUGACCGUUCACAUGGAAACCUUCCACCGUUGAAUCGAAAACUUCUACCAGUGGUAUAUAAAGAUUUAAGUGGACGACAGUGUGACUACAACCGCUUAUAUGAAAGCUUCAACCAUAGUUAGAAAAAUAUCCAACCGAACCACUGCGGAUUAAAAGAGCUACAACCGUACUCUCAUAUGGAAGUUUGGUCUGGCGACCUAUAGUGUUGUAAGUGACAUGUGGCGAUGAUACAAUCUGUGGAUGGCAAUGAUGCUUCAACCGGCAUGAUGAAAUGCUUCAACUUUGUGAAAAAUGCUUCAACCGGCGUGCCGAUUUGUGCGAACAGUGAUUUGUGCGAACAGUGACGUUGAGAGCUGCGGCCGGCAGCAUGGUGCUUCUGCGAUAGACGUGCAAUGACGGUGGUGGCUAUGUGCUGCAAUUAUAGAUACGGCGGGCGUGCUACAAGACGACUGUGAAUUUCUACAAGGGUCACGUAGUCGUGCUGAAACCGGCGGGGAUGGGUGCUGCGAGGGCGACCACUGGCGACAAGGGCCGCGAUCGGCAGUGAGGCAAGCGAGCGAGGACGGGCGACGAGCUGGUUGGCGCCUCGGAGGAUCAUGACAUGCACGCGGUGGACAGGAGCCAUGGCUUUCCUUUCCGUUUUUUGAAUGAAGCAUUUAGAAGAGAGAGUAUAUCGUGCAGCUAUAACUACGCAGAUUGUAUACGUGCGCAGUGCGACCGGACAAAAUUUUGGUUGGCCGAUUGGCGCUUAUCAUUGGCCUAUAAAAAACCGAAAGACAAAGCAUGAAUCAAAGUACACGGCCGAAUAAUGCAAGGUAGUGAGGUAUCCCUUUUACAAAGCUGAUCCCGGAAUAAUCGGACAACAUAAAACGCAAACAACUAUGUUGCUGAAAAGGUACACAGGAAGGACUUAAGACAACGCGAUGUCAUAGAACACCUAAGAUCAACGCGAAAAUAUCUGUUAUCCAGCAGAUGACCAGUGCCAAAACACCAAGGAGAAAGCGGCGCAGCGAAGCGUGUUUUGACGCUUCUAGUUUUUUUUUUUGCAUCAACAACUUUAUUCCUCAUAUAACGUACAUAUCGUUUACAACUUGAGGAAGAAUAAAGUCAAGGAUAGUAGUCUCCCAGAAUUCAUACGAGCUAGACAUAAAGGAGCGUUUGGCUAAACUAUCAGCGAUUGAAUCAGCUUCUCUGCAACAGACAAUAGCCAACACUUGCAAAGUCCAAAGCGAGAUGAGUACAUUCAGCUAACGCUGCCACAUACGGAUCCAUAUAAUCAGCUGCAUGGGUAACCGACUCAACUGCAGAUAUACAGUUAGAUUCAAUGACCAGCUUGUUGCAUCCUAUUUUCCCUGCCAGAUAAAGACCAUUCCGGAUAGCAUUUAUCUUAGCUGAUUCAACACUGCAAACAUGUGAGGUAAAACCCAAAUGGCAGCAACUAUGAAGUUCCCCUUGUGGUCUUUUGCCACUACUCCACUAGCUCCAGAAAGUGUUCCACGGUGAAAAGAUGCAUCAAAAUUUAUCUUAACAGUGCCAUCAAUCAGUUUCCGCACCUGCAUCAUAGUUGUUGGAGUUGUGUCGAAUAUUGUGUACAAGGUAGAUUACAGUUGGAUUAUGAGUAGUAUUGUGUUUAGAUAGGAUAUGGACGAAGGAAAUAUGCCCUAGAGGCAAUAAUAAAUUUGUUAUUUAUAUUUCCUUAAAUCAUGAUAAAUGUUUAUUAUUCAUGCUAGAAUUGUAUUAACCGGAAACUUAGUACAUGUGUGAAUACAUAGACAAACAGAGUGUCCCUAGCUAGUAUGCCUCUACUUGACUACCUCGUUAAUCAAAGAUGGUUAAGUUUCCUAACCAUAGACAUCUGUUGUCAUUUGAUGAACAGGAUCACAUCAUUGGAGAAUGAUGUGAUGGACAAGACCCAUCCGUUAGCUUAGCACUAUGAUCGUUUAGUUUAUUGCUAUUGCUUUCUUCAUGACUUAUACAUGUUCCUCUGACUAUGAGAUUAUGUAACUCCCGAAUACCGGAGGAAUAAUUAGUGUGCUAUCAAACGUCACAACGUAACUGGGUGAUUAUAAAGAUGCUCUACAGGUGUCUCCGAUAGUGUUUAUUGAGUUGGCAUAGAUCGGGAUUAGGAUUUGUCACUCCGUGUAUCGGAGAGGUAUCUCUGGGCCCUCUCGGUAAUGCACAUCACUAUAAGCCUUGCAAGCAAUGUAACUAAUGAGUUAGUUGCGGGAUGAUGCAUUACGGAACAAGUAAAGAGACUUGCCGGUAACGAGAUUGAACUAGGUAUGGUGAUACCGACGAUCGAAUCUCGGGCAAGUAACAUACCGAUGACAAAGGGAACAACGUAUGUUAUUAUGCGGUUUGACCGAUAAAGAUCUUCGUAGAAUAUGUAGGAGCCGAUAUGAGCAUCCAGGUUCCGCUAUUGGUUAUUGACCGGAGAUGUGCCUUGGUCAUGUUUACAUAGUUCUCGAACCCGUAGGGUCCGCACGCUUAACGUUCGAUGACGAUUGGUAUUAUGAGUUUAUGUGAUUUGAUGUACCGAAGGUUGUUCGGAGUCCCGGAUGAGAUCACGGACAUGACGAGGAGCCUCGAAAUGGCCGAGACAUAAAUAUUGAUAUAUUGGACCAUGUUGUUCGGACACCGGAAGUGUUCCGGAGAGUUUCGGAUAAAACCGGAGUGUCGGAGGGUUACCGGACCCCCCCUCCCCCCGGGAAGUUAUGGGCCUUAGUGGGCCUUAGGGGAGAGAGAGGGCAGCAGCCAGGAGGUGGCUCCCCCCCAUGGGGAGUCCGAAUAGGACUAGGGGAGGGGUCGUGGCCCCUCUUUCCCUCUCCCACUCCCUCUCCUUCCUUCUUCUCCUAGUUGGACUAGGAAAGGGGGGAAACCUACUCCUACUAGGAGUAGGAAUCCCCACCUUGGGCGCGCCCCUUGUGGCCGGCUGGCCUCCUCCUCCCCUCCUUUAUAUACGGGGGAAGGGGGCACCCCAUAGACACACAAGUUGAUCUUUAGCCGUGUGCGGUGCCCCCUCCACAGUUUUCCACCUCGGUCAUAUUGUCGUAGUGCUUAGGCGAAGCCAUGCAUCGGUAACUUCAUCAUCGCCGUCACCACGGCGUCAUGCUGACGAAACUCUCCCUUAGCCUCAACUGGAUCAAGAGUUCGAGGGACGUCACCGAGCUGAACGUGUGCAGAUCACGGAGGUGUCGUGCAUUCGGUACUUGGAUCGGUUGGAUCGCGAAGACGUUCGACUACAUCAACCGCAUUACUAAACGCUUCCGCUUUCGAUCUACAAGGGUACAUGGGCACACUCUCCCCACUCGUUGCUAUGCUUCUCCUAGAUAGAUCUUGCAUGAUCGUAGGAAUUUUUUUGAAAUACUACGUUCCCCAACAGUGGAAUCCGAGCCAGGUCUAUGCGUAGAUGUUAUAUGCACGAGUAGAACACAAAGAGUUGUGGGCGAUAAUAGUCAUACUGCUUACCAACAUGUCAUACUUUGAUUCGGCGGUAUUGUUGGAUGAAGCGGCCUAGACCGACAUUACAUGACCGCGUUCAUGAGACUUGUUCUACCGCCGUUCUUCGCACACAGGUGGCUAGUGGGUGUCUGUUUCUCCAGCUUUAGUUCAAUCGAGUGUGACUACGCCCGGUCCUUGUUGAAGGUUAAAACAACACACUUGAUGAAAAAUCGUUGUGGUUUUGAUGCGUAGGUAAGAACGGUUCUUGCUCAAGCCUGUAGCAGCCACGUAAAAUUUGCAACAACAAAGUAGAAGCCGUCUAACUUGUUUUUGCAGGGCUUGCUGUGAUGUGAUAUGGUCAAGACGUGAUGAUAUAUAAAUUAUUGUAUGAGAUGAUCACGUUUUGUAACAGUUAUCGGCAACUGGCAAGAGCAAUAUGGUUGUCGCUUUAUUGUAUGAAAUGCAAUCGCCAUGUAAUUGCUUUACUUUAUCUACCUGGAUAGUCAUAGAAGCAAUAGUUGGCGAGACGACAACGAUGCUUCGAUGGAGAUCAAGGUGUCAAGCCGGUGACGAUGGUGAUCAUGACGGUGCUUUGGGGAUGGAGAUCAAAGGCACAAGAUGAUUAUGGCCAUAUCAUAUCACUUAUUUGAUUCCAUGUGACGUUUAUCCUUUAUGCAUCUUAUUUUUCUUAGUACGAUGGUAGCAUUAUAAGAUGAUCUCUCACUAAAUUUCAAGGUACAAGUGUUCUCCCUGAGUAUGCGUCGUUGCUACAGUUCGUCGUGCUGAGACACCACGUGAUGAUCGGGUGUGAUAAGCUCUACGUUCACAUACAACGGCUGCAAGCCAGUUUUGCACACGCAGAAUACUCGGGUUAAUCUUGACGAGCCUAGCAUAUGCAGAUAUGGCCCAGGAACACUAAGACCGAAAGGUCGAGCAUGAAUCAUAUAGUAGAUAUGAUCAACAUAGUGAUGUUCACCAUUGAAAACUACUCCAUCUCACGUGAUGAUCGGACAUAGUUUAGUUGAUAUGGAUCACAUGAUCAUUUAGAUGACUCGAGGGAUGUCUAUCUAAGUGGGAGUUCUUAAGUAAUAUGAUUAAUUGAACUUUAAUUUAUCAUGAACUUAGUCCUGAUAGUAUUUGCAUAACUAUGUUGUAGAUCAAUAGCUCGCGAUGUAGCUCCCCGUUUAUUUUUGAUAUGUUCCUAGAGAAAAACUAUGUUGAAAGAUGAUAGUAUCAAUGAUGCGGACUAGGUCCGUGAUCUGAGGGUUAUCCUCAUUGCUGCACAGAAGAAUUAUGUCCUUGAUGCACCGCUUGGUGACAGACCUAUUGCAGGAGCAGAUAACAGGCGUUAUGAACGUUUGGCAAGCUCGGUAUGAUAACUACAUGCUAGUUUAGUGCACCAUGCUUUACGGCUUAGAACCGGGACUUCAAAAACGUUUUGAACGCCACAGAGCAUAUAAGAUGUUCCAAGAGCUGAAAUUGGUAUUUUAGACUCAUGCCCGAGUCGAGAGGUAUGAGACCUCUAACAAGUACUUUGCCUACAAGAUGGAGGAGAAUAGCUCAACCAGUGAGCAUGUGCUCAGAUUGUCUGAGUACUACAAUCACUUGAAUCAAGUGGGAGUUAAUCCUCCAGAUGAAAUAGUGAUUGACAGAGUUCUAUAGUCACUAUCACCAAGUUACUUGAACUUCGUGAUGAACUAUAAUAUGCAAGGGAUGAUGAAAACGAUUCCUGAGCUGAUGCUGAAAACGAUGAAGGUAGAAAUCAAGAAAAGCAUCAAAUGUUGAUGAUUGACAAGACCACUAGUUUCAAGUAAAAGGGCAAGGCAAAGAAAGGGAACUUCAAGAAGAAUGGCAAGCAAGUUGCCACUCCCAUGAAGAAGCCCAAAGCUAGACCCAAGCCUGAAACUGAGUGCUUCUACUGCGAAGGAAAUGCUCACUGGAAGCGGAACUGCCCCAAAUACUUGGCGGAUAAGAAGGAUGGCAAAGUGAACGAAAGUAUAUAUGAUAUACAUGUUACUGAUGUGUACUUUACUAGUGUUCAUAGUAGCCCCUGGGUAUUUGAUACUGGUUCAGUUGCUAUGAUUAGUAACUCGAAACAGGAGUUACAAAAUGAACAAAGACUAGUUGAGGGCAAGGUGACGAUGUGUGUUCGAAAUGAUUCCAAGGUUGAUAAGAUCACCAUCGCACACUCCCUUUUACCUCCGGGAUUAGUGUUGAACCUAAAAUAAAUGUUAUUUGGUGUUUGCGUUGAGCAUAAUAUGAUUGGAUCAUGUUUAUUGCAAUACGGUAAUUCAUUUAAGUCAAAAAAUAAUUGUUAUUCUGUUUACAUGAAUAAAACCUUCUGUGGUCAUACACCCAAGGUGAAUGGUUUAUUGAAUCUCGAUCGUAGCGAUACACAUAUUCAUAAUAUUGAUGCCAAAAGAUGCAAAAUUGAUAAUGAUAGUGCAACAUAUUUGUGGCACUGUCGUUUAGGUCAUAUUGGUGUAAAGCGCAUGAAGAAACUCCAUGCUGAUGGGCUUUUGGAAUCACUUGAUGCUUUCGAACUAUGCCUCAUGGGAAGAUGACUAAGACUCCGUUCUCCAGAACAAUGGAGCGAGCAACUGUCUUAUUGGAAAUUAUACAUAUUGAUAUAUGAGAUCCGAUGAGUGUUGUGGCUUGCGGCGGGUAUCGUUAUUUUCUGACCUUCACAGAUGAUUUGAGCAGAUAUGUGUAUAUCUACUUAAUGAAACAUAAGUCUGAAACAUUUGAAAAGUUCAAAGAAUUUCAGAGUGAAGUGGAAAAUCAUCGUAACAAGAAAAUAAAGUUUCUAUGAUCUGAUCACGGAAACGAAUAUUUGAGUUACAAGUUUGGUCUUCAUUUAAAACAAUGUGGAAUAGUUUCGCAACUCACGCCAUGUGGAACACCACAGCGUAAUGGUGUGUCCUAACGUCGUAACCAUACUUUAUUAGAUAUGGUGCACUCUAUGAUGUCUCUUACUGAUUUACCGCUAUCGUUUUGGGGUUAUGCAUUAGAGACAGUUGCAUUCACGUUAAAUAGGGCACCAUCUAAAUCCAUUGAGACGACACCAUAUGAAUUGUGGUUUAGCAAGAAACCUAAGCUGCCGUUUCUUAAAGUUUGGGGCUGUGAUGCUUAUGAGAAAAAGUUUCAACCUGAUAGGCUCGAACCCAAAUCGGAGAAAUGCGUCUUCAUAGGAUACCCAAAGGAAACUGUUGGGUACACCUUCUAUCACAGAUCUGAAGACAAGAUAUUUUUUGCUAAGAAUGGAUCCUUUCUAGAGAAGGAGUUUCUCUCGAAAGAAGUGAGUGGGAGGAAAGUAGAACUUGAUGAGGUAAUUGUACCUUCUCCCGAGUUGGAAAGUAGCACAUCACAGAAAUUACUUCCAGUGAUUCCCACACCAAUUAGUAAGGAAGUUAAUGAUGAUGAUCAUGAAACUUCAGAUCAAGUUACUACUGAACCUCGUAGGUCAAUUAGAGUAAGAUCCGAACCAGUGUGGUAGCGUAAUCCUAUUCUGGAAGUCAUGUUACUUGGCCAUGACGAACCUACGAACUAUGAGGAAGCGAUGAUGAGCCCAGAUUCCGCGAAAUGGCUUGAAGCCAUGAAAUCUGAGAUGGGAUCCAUGUAUGAGAACAAAGUAUGGACUUUGAUUUAUUUGCCCAAUGAUCGGCGAGCCAUUGAGAAUAAAUGGAUCUUCAAGAGGAAGACGGACGCUGAUAGUAGUGUUACUAUCUACAAAGCUCGAAUUGUUGCAAAAAGUUUUCGACAAGUUCAAGGUGUUGACUACGAUAAGAUUUUCUCACUCGUUGCGAUGCUUAAGUCUGUCCGAAUCAUGUUAGCAAUUGCCCCAUUUUACGAAAUCUGGCAAAUGGAUGUCAAAACUACAUUCCUUAAUGGAUUUCUUCAAGUAGAGUUGUAUAUGAUGCAACAAGAAGGUUUUGUCAAUCCGAUAGGUGCUAACAAAGUGUGUAAGCUCCAGUGAUACAUUUAUGGACUGGUGCAAGCAUCUCGGAGUUGGAAUAUACGCUUUGAUAAGUUGAUCAAAGCAUAUAGUUUUAUACAGACUUGCGGUGAAGCCUGCAUUUGCAAGAAAGUGAGUGGGAGCUCUGCAACUUUUCUGAUAAGUAUAUGUGAAUGACAUAUUGUUGAUCCGAAAUGAUGUAGAAUUUUUUGGAAAGCAUAAAGGAGUAUUUGAAAGGAGUUUUUCAAAGAAAGACCUCGGUGAAGUUGCUUACAUAUUUGGCAUCAAGAUCUAUAGAGAUAGAUCAAGAUGCUUGAUAAGUUUUUUUUCAAUGAGUACGUACCUUGACAAGAUUUUGAAGUAGUUCAAAAUGGAACAGUCAAAGAAAGAGUUCUUGCCCGUAUUGCAAGGUGUAAAGUUGAGUAAGACUAAGAAAACACACGACCACGACAGAAAAUAGAAAGAGAAUGAAAGUCAUUCCCUAUGCCUCAGCCAUAGGUUCUAUAAAGUAUGCUAUGCUGUGUACCAAACCUAUUGUAUACCUUUCCAUGAGUUUGGCAAGGGGGUACGAUAUUGAUCCAGGAGUGGAUCACUUGAAAACAGUCAAAAUUACCCUUAGAAGACUAAGGAGAUAUUUCUCGGUUAUGGAGCUGAUAAAGAGUUCGUCGUAAAGAGUUACGCCGAUGCAAGCUCUUACACCAAUCCGGAUGACUCUGAGUCUCAAUCUGGACACAUAUUGAAAGUGGGAGCAAUUAGCUAGAGUAGCUCCAUGCAGAGCAUUGUAGACACAGAAAAUUUGCAAAAUACAUAUGGCUCUGAAUGUGGCAGACCCGUUGACUAAACUUCUCUCACAAGCAAGACAUGAUCACUCUUUGGGUGUUAAUCACAUAGCGAUGUGAACUAGAUUAUUCACUCUAGUAAACCCUUUUGGGUGUUAGUCACAUGGAGAUGUGAACUAAUCACAUAAAGAUGUGAACUAUUGGUGUUAAAUCACAUGACGAUGUGAACUAGAUUAUUGACUCUAGUGCAAGUGGGAGACUGAAGGAAAUAUGCCCUAGAGGCAAUAAUAAAGUUGUUAUUUAUAUUUCCUUAUAUCAUGAUAAAUGUUUAUUAUUCAUUCUAGAAUUGUAUUACCGAAAACUUAGUACAUGUGUGAAUACAUAGACAAACAGAGUGUCCCUAGUAUGCCUCUACUUGACUAGCUCGUUAAUCAAAGAUGGUUAAGUUUCCUAACCAUAGACAUGUGUUGUCAUUUGAUGAAUGGGAUCACAUCAUUGUAGAAUGAUGUGAUGGACAAGACCCAUCUGUUAGCUUAGCACUAUGAUCGUUUAGUAUAUUGUUAUUGUUUUCUUCAUGACUUAUACAUGUUCCUCUGACUAUGAGAUGAUGCAACUCCGGAAUACCGGAGGAUCACUUAGUGUGCUAUCAAAUGUCACAACGUAACUGGGUGAUUAUAAAGAUGCUCUACAGGUGUCUCCGAUGGUGUUUGUUGAGUUGGCAUAGAUCGAGAUUAGGACUUGUCACUCCGUGUAUCGGAGAGGUAUCUCUAGGCCCUCUCGGUAAUGCACAUCACUAUAAGACUUGCAAGCAAUGUUACUAAUGAGUUAGUUGUGGGAUGAUGCAUUACGGAACGAGUAAAGUGACUUGCCGGUAAUGAGAUUGAACUAGGUAUGUUGAUACCGACGGUUGAAUCUCGGGCAAGUAACAUACUGAUGACAAAGAGAACAACGUAUGUUGUUAUGCGGUUUGACCGAUAAAGACCUACUUAGAAUAUGUAGGAGCCAAUAUGAGCAUCCAGGUUCCGCUAUUGGUUAUUGACCGGAGAUGUGUCUCGGUCAUGUCUACAUAGUUCUCGGACCCGUAGAGUCCGCACUCUUAACGUUCGAUGACGAUUGGUAUUAUGAGUUUAUGUGAUUUGAUGUACCAAAGGUUCUUCGGUGUCCCGGAUGAGAUCACGGACACGACGAGGAGUCUCAAAAUGGUCGAGACAUAAAGAUUGAUAUAUUGGACCAUGUUGUUCGGACACCGGAAGUGUUCCGGAGAGUUUCGGAUAAAACCGGAGUGGCGGAGGGGUACCGGAACCCUCUCAAGGAAGUUAUGGGCCUUACUGGGCCUUAGGGGAGAGAGAGGGCAGCAUCCAGGAGGUGGUGCGUGCCCCCCAAGGGGAGUCCGAAUAGGACUAGGGGAGGGGGGCGCGGCCCCUCUUUCCCUCUCCCUCUCCCUCUCCUUCUUCUUCUCCUAGUUGGACUAGGAAAGGGGGGAAACCUACUCCUACUAGGAGUAGGAAUCCCCCCUUGGGCGCGCCCCUUUUGUCCGGCCGGCCUCCUCCUCCCCUCCUUUAUAUACGGGGGAGGGGGGCACCCCAUAGACACACAAGUUGAUCUUUAGCCGUGUGUGGUGCCCCCCUCCACAGUUUUCCACCUCGGCCAUGCGUCGGUAACUUAAUCAUCACCGUCACCACGGCGUUGUGCUGACGAAACUCUCCCUUGGCCUCAAUUGGAUCAAGAGUUUGAGGGACGUCACCGAGCUGAACGUGUGUAGAUCGCGGAGGUGCCGUGCAUUCGGUACAUGGAUCGGUUGGAUCGCGAAGACGUUCGACUACAUCAACCGCGUUACUAAACGCUUCCGCUUUCGGUCUACGAGGGUACGUGGACACACUCUCCCCACUCGUUGCUAUGCUUCUCCUAGAUAGAUCUUGCGUGAUCGUAGGAAUUUUUUGAAAUACUACGUUCCCCAAAAAUGGACUAGGACACUUGUAUCCUAGGCCUCUCAUAUAUAGCGGGGGUAGACACAUGAUGUAACCUAUGCCAACAUAAUAACACAGUAACGCAGGGGAAGCCGGCGGUAUGUGUCGGCGUCUAGGGCUACCGUGUGCGGUAUCACUACUAGGGAAAACCUUAUACACAGAAUCUUAGCAGCAGCGCGGUUUAAAAACAAACGCUACUGCUAAUUAGCAGUAGCGAGCUCCGUAAAACCACGCUACUAAUAGCACGGGUAGCAGCAGCGGUGUAGAUGAAACAAGCGCUACUACUAUAAUUGCCACGGCGUUGCCCCCAGGCUAGAUAUAGUAGUAGCGCCCUUCCUAGGACGCGCUACUGCUAAAGAACUUAGUACCAACGUUUUUCUUCAAAACACGCUGCUGCUAAGUAUUGCACCUAAUUAAGUUUAGUCCCAUACUGCUAAGUGAACAAGGUGUUUACCACCUUAAAUAUGUUACUUCUCAAACUAUCUCGAGCACUUGGUCUUCAUUGAACCAUAUGUGUAGGAUUUGUGGCUGCAAUAUGAAUCUUCACCAGUGCCUAUACAAGUACUGUGAGGAUUCAUGUUGACUAUUUAGAUUCUACACAAAAAGAUCAAUGAUGACCAAUGUAUAUUUUUGAAGCUUUUACAUGCUUAGACUUAGCAGUAGCGUUUUUUCAGGGCAAAGCGCUACUGAUACUAUAAAACAGAAAGGAAUAGCUGUAGCGCGUUUCGCUUGACACGCUAUAGCUAACUUAGCUAUAGCGCGUUCCGGCAAAACGCAUUGUUGCUAGUUUGACUUAACCCGCGAUCGCGCGGGCUCAAAAUUUCGCUAAGUCCUUCGUCUCCACUUCCCCCUCUCCCCCAACUGCUCCAUCGCCGCCGUUGCCCUGCGGCUCUCGACCUCACCGCCGCCGCCCGCUGCCGCCCUCAACCUCACCACCGUCGUCGCCCGCCACACACCCUCGAGGCCGCCCCCGACCCCGACCUCGACGCCGCCCCCGACCCCGACAUCGACGCCGCCCUCCGCUGCGCGCCCGAGCCCCGUCCCCGUCCUCGACGCCGCCGGCCCCUCCCUAGCCGUAGUCACCGUAAGGCUCUGGCUCUCCUCUCCCCUACCCUCCUCUCUCUGCUAGGGCAAUUCAUAUAUGAGUUGAUGCUGUGUUGAUGUUCAUAUGAACCCUAGGUGUUCAUAUGAACCCUAGAUUUGUUUAGGGCAGUAGGCAUUUUUUAGCAUUUAGGAAAAAUGAUUAGGAAUUUUUUUAGGAAAUUAGCAAGAGCAAAUUUUUCUGAAAAUGCCUAAACAGUAAUUUCAUUCAAAAAACAAAAAACAGAAUUGUUUUUCUUUCAAAAACUUGGUUAAACUUCUUGUUGCUAUGUAAACAAAAAACAAGAUUGUUGUUAUAUGAUAUAUGUCAUUGAUGUUCGUUUGCAUAUUCCAUACUUGAAGUGGUUCGAUUGUGCCCAAGUGGCUUUGUUGUUUCCAGGGAAUGAAGUCGAGUGGCCUUUGUUUUGCCGGAAUGUUGAUUCAUUCCUGUUCCGGCAAAUUUCGGGUUCUCGAUUUGUCCACUUUUUAGUAAAAGUCAUGUCAAAAUUUUUCGUGAAUUUUGGCAUGACUUGUGCUACAAACUAGGACAUAUCGAGUGCCUGGGACUGGGCUCCGUCGGGGUGGUACUGGGAGGCCCUACCUACGGGGGGAAUCUCCGCCGCAUUUGUUGUUACUUUUGCUUAUUGAAUGCAUGCUAAUUUGAGUAUGAGUCCUAUAAGAUAUUUUGAGUAUCCUGGUAGUUUUCUUCGAUCGAUUUUCAAUUAAUGUUUCACCUAUGAACAUAGGAAAUGUCUGACAACGAAAAGGAUUUCGGUAUUUGCAAAUACUGCGAAGACGAGCGCGGCCUGUGCGACGGAAUCUUCCUGGAUGGUGAUACGCGCUUCAGCAUCAAGCUGGACGUGAACUUCGAAGUGGACACAGUAAGUCACAACGACAAGUCUUUUUUCGUAAUUAAGCAUGACAUCUGCUUCAUUUGCUUCAACUUAUAUUUUUUUUUACUAUUCUACUAGCUUAUCCCCUGUCAUGCAAGAGUUUUUGUCUUGGAUAAGAUUACUAUGGAGGUAAAGAAAGUUUACUUGAAGACCGAGCAUGGUUAUAUUUUCCACGCAAAAUUAUACAACGCAGACGACUACACCUAUUUUGGAUGCAAAACUUGGCGAUCACUAUGCAAGACUUAUGCAUUUGAGCCUGAUAUGGUUAUCACCUUUGAUAUUCGUCUGCAAGAUGAUAUUGAAGGUAAUACCGACAUCUGGGUCGAUGUGCAGACGCCUCCAGUUAUACCAUUAUGUGAGUUUCUCAACCAUAUUUAUGUCUUUGAUGUUGUUUAUUCAAAAAUAGUUGACAACUAAUUUCUAUUGUCAGCUUAUUUCCGUUCAAGCAAACAUGUCCAACGCUUGAUAGACAGGACCUACUACUGUCCCGGGGCUGAACUAAACUGCGAGGAGCUAAGUCAUUAUGUUUCAUGACUUGAGGAUAUUGAUACUGUUAAGACAAAUUUUCUUCCUGCACUUAGAAAUGUUAGUACUGAAAACGUUCGACCAAUAGUGUUCAUAAUGAACUACGGUCACAUCUAUUUAGGAAAGAUGGUAAGAUUUUUACUAUUUGUUCUCAGUGCAUCUUUUGCAUACAUUAUUUUUUAAGCUAAACUUCAUUGCUAAGUAUGUUACUAUACGAUGUUCUUGAACAGGGACUCCCGAUGAAUGCUGUGCCUCAUGGGAUCGAGACUAAAGGUACCAUGAGUAUUGUUAGCUUACGGCCAAGAUAUCCUACAAUGCACUUUAGUGCAUUCAGUAUUUCUAAUAGCGAGGGAGUCUUAAUAGUGAAAGACUGGACCAAAUUUGUGGUGGAGGAGUGCAGAGAAGUACUAGGGGGCAGCAAUCAGAAGUGCAGCCCACGAUUAGGAGACAGGUUCAUCUGCAUGCUCCAACUUGAUGAAGGAGGAGAGCUACACAUGUUUUAUGUUAUUUUACCUGAGAGAGAGCAGCAGGAGUGAUUAGUUAGCUAGAAAUGAGUUUGAAGAUGAUGAUGUGCUACACUAUGACUAUGAUGAUUAAAUAGCUAGUGUUGGUGGUAAUGACUAUGAUGAUUAUUAUUAGCUAGUGUUGGUGGUGAUUAGAUAGCUACCACAUCUAGUGUUGGUGGUGAUUAGCUAGCUAGAAUGAGUUUGAAGAUGAUGAUGUGCUACACUAUGACUAUGGAGAUUAAAUAAAUAUUGUUGGUGUAAUGACUAUGAUGAUGAUUAAAUAGCUUGUGCUGGCGGAUUAGAUUCAAGUGGAGGCAACAUGUGGUGCACAUCGAAAGUACUACUAGUCCAAACUAGAUCAAGUUUGGAUUAGUAGUAUACUUUUGACAUGCACCACAUAUUGCCUCCACUUGAACCUAAUCCACCUUCAUUUGACACACUGUUAUGGACAUAAUGAUAUAAACCUCAUAAUUGGUAUUGUACCAAAAUUUGUAUAACGACGUAUAAAUACACUAAAAAUGAAAAAAAAUACUAGUAGCGAUGGAUAGUAAACACGCUGCAACUAGCUAGAUUAGCAGCAGCGCAGGAUAGAACAAGCGCUGCUACUAAGUGUCUUAGCAGUUGCGCUUGUCGCACGCGCUACUGCUAAGUAAUAGCUAUAGUGCCUUAUUAGUAGCGCGGCUGCCCGGGGUACUAGUGGGCAUUAAACCCGCGCUACUACUAGGGUUUUCCCUAGUAGGGUAUUGUAGCGGUGUCAUGGAGAGGAGCGCCCAUAGUCAGGCCCUGGGGAUGUAGCCAUAUCGGUGAACCUCGUUAACAAAUCUCGGUGUUGUGCCUCGUGUGAUUGCUUGGUCCUCUGAUGAUCGACGGAGUGCCUCAGAUUAAUUCUAACAAGUGGUACCAGAGCCCAGGUGCCCGGAAUGAAUCUUGGUAGACUCACGGGUGGUUGGUCAUGGUUGGUGGGCUGGAAAUGCUGGUGUUAGUGAGCCCAUGGAUGACCGAUGUAUGAGGGGGAGAUUGUUGAGUUUAGUCCCACAUCGGUUGUGGGAGGAGACAUAACAUGAUUUAUAAGGGCAGGGGUGUCCCCUCCUAACAGGCUAGUCUUUUGGGGGGAGAGGGCCCAAGGCCUCUCAUAAGUCGUUGUUGCUCUCCGGUUGGGUCUGGGUGGCGCAGGUGGGUCGGAAACUCUCGUGUUAGCGGACCCGGGAUUGCGUAACAAUAGCUUAGAUUUUGUGCGUGCAGGUCAUAAACACAACUGAUUGAUUGGGAAAACCACCCAGUGAGGGACGCCUAUAAAAGCCUCAGCUCACUGAGAACAUUCUUCUUCUUCUUUUGAGGGGGCUGCCUGAGUAUCCUUUAGCCUUGUAUCGUCGUGGAGAAAAUGAAGAUCCGAAGGAGAGGUGUUGGGGAUAUAGCUACUGAGUAUAAACUGCCCAGAAGGGGCCGGGUUAUACUCAUGGCGAUUUACCAGUAUUGAAGCCCAUGAAGACAUAGAAAGGUGGCGACUUACGAAGGAGGAUUACAAAGAAGGCCUGAAGCCCAAAGGAAGAUUAGGGCCCAUAAAUGUAAACCACCAUAGGUGUAUGACUUUCAUUGUAAGAUAGGAAAGAGUAGAUACCGAGCCGGACACGUUUAUGAGCCGGCCGGGAUUCGGUGAACCACGGGGCGUCAACCUGUGUAUAUAAAGGGACGACCUGGUGGCGGUUUAGGGACAAGAAACAACAGAUCGAGAGCCAGGCUAAGCGUAUUCGCUCCCUGGUCAUCAAAACCCUAGCAAUACCACCUCAAACUGGAUUAGGCCUUUACCUUCACCACAAGGGGCCGAACCAGUAUAACUCCAUGUGUCCUUUGUCCCGAUUAACCCCUUUAAGCUAAUCUCGUUGCGAUGGCUCCACGACUAAGUCCUCACACUAGGAUAUCUGCCGUGACAACUCCACGACAGUUGGCGCCCACCAUGGGGCCAGCGCACGGUGGUUUCGAGUUCUUAAAGGGUAACUUCAAAGGGAUCAAGGGAUACGCCAUGGGCCGGAUGACCAAGAGUCAUCGCGGCAAGCUCUACAUCGACGACGCAGGCUGGGGCCCCGAGGCCUGCUCAAUUGAGUACAGGUACCGAGUCCCCUUCGGUGGAAUUCACGUCUUCAUCGGCAAGAUCGGCGAACCGGGCCCUGAGCCGGAUAUCUGCACCGACUUCAUCGAGACGGCUUAGUGUGCGAGACCCGCCCGAGUUCAUCUCGCUAUGAAUCGUGCCUUCGUGGGAUUCAUCCAUGGAGCGGAAUCUGAGGAUAGAUCGGCAUCUAGCGAUGAGAUGGUUGUUUACUCUGAUGGUGAUUCGUCCACCGGUGAGACCGAGUCAUUGUAUCAACUGCAAGACGGCCGGCUUGGAGGCUGUUCCGAUGGUGACAGUAUUUCGGACCCCUGCGAGCCACCGAACUGGGUCGCAAUCUUCAUGGCCGGUACGCAGCCAGUACAACAUUCUUCAACUGCAGCGGCAUUGAUUUCAGGGUCAGCAGCAGCGACAGUGGCCGGGGCAGGAGGCCUUGCGGGCCCACCGGCUCAAGUCUUGUCCGGCUUACUAGAUACCUUGGCAACACUGCUGACGACGGAGGUUAACCCGGAUAACCAAGAUCAGCAUAACACGGAAGUCGCAAAAUUACGAGAUCAGAUAGCUCAAGCUAAGGAAGACCUGGCGGCUGAAGACACCAGGAUGGCCGCAAAGCGGGUUACGUUGGAUGCUCAGGUGCAACGGAUUCAGUCGGAGUCUUACCGGCUCAUGCUAGAUGAGAACUCUUGAAACGAAGUCGUGAGGAGGAGCCAUCAGACUCGUCUGCCCCCAGUCUACGAGGCGAGAAAACUCUUUAACACGCCAGGAGCAGGAACCAGUAACAUGCCAGUGGUAGAUCGGGUUGAAGCAUCUGGGAUGGGAAAGCCGGUUCAGCCGCGCACGACGGACCCGCCUCGGCAGAACAAUAUCCCGCCACAACACAUGUCGACACCACCGGGUCAUUACUCCACCCCUUUGGAUAACAUGAUCGCCACGGCAUCACGAUUGGCGGCUCUCCUAGUUGAAGGCGAGUCUCCAACGACGGUUGAAACACGGAGGGCUAGAGAGCUCCUUCAGACAGCAUUGGUUCAGCAGCAGGCUUAUUCUUAUAGUCGUGAUAGGAUUUAGUCCACCCCUCGCCCGAGCCGGAGUUACAGCAGGCAUAUCGAUGAGCCGGCUGUGUCAAGCAGCAGGCAACACCACAAUCCGCCCCGUGGACAUAACCCGACGGGUGAUGGUGCUGAUGCACAGAAUGUAGUGGAUCAAGGUAGGGCGCGUCGGUAGGCCGAGCUGGCAGCUCAAUGUGCGGCCCGUCAACCUUCUCCGGUUCGUCCGACGACUUCGGUGGAGCCAGAUGUAACCUUUAGGAAUUUGGGUGUGCCAUGUUUGGUACCAGCUCUGCGUAGCGUAAGUUUGCCCAAGGAUUUCAAGGGUCCCCGUAAGGUGCUACACUGCCGACUUACCCCCUGAAACAUGGAUUGAGAGUUAUGAGAUGGCGAUGGAACUGCUAGAUGUCGACGACGCUGCAUGUGCUAAGUACUUCACCAUGAUGUUGGAAGGGACAGCUCGUACUUGGUUGAAAGGGUUGCCAGCCAACUCCAUUGGGUCAUGGGCUGAGUUAAAAGCCCGGUUUAUCCAAAAUUUUAAAGAUACAUGCAAACAGCCCAUGUCAAUUAUGGAUUUAGCCUCCCGUGUCCAAGAAGAAGGUGAGUCGACAACCCAUUGGGUGGGCCGGGUCUCAACAAUCUUGCACUCGUCGGAUCGCAUCAAUGCAUUCAGCAGUCUUAAUGUUGGAGAACUAUUGUCGUUUCACGCCCCUAAAGCAGAAAUUAGGGCGGCUCAAAUGCCACUACAAUGACAUGGGGACACUCAUGGCGGCUCUGGUUAAGUAUGCUAACUCAGAUGGUACCAAGGACCCCGAGUCUGACGAUGAAAGCCGGGAAAGGGAAAGAAGAGCAGCAACACCAGAGGACAACAGCAUAACCCGGCGAACAUUGGAAACAACGGUAAGCGCAAAGCUGACAAUAGUUAGGACUUUGUGGCUAACACCAAUACGCAGAAUAAUGGUCUGCGUCGUAAGGGUAUGCCGCCCCACGGGCUGGAGGAUCGGGCUUCAAUCUUGAGCAGCUGCUGAAUCAGCCCUACCCAAGGCAUGGUACAUGAGAAAGGCCGUCUGGCCACCUCUGGAAGGAUUGCUUCAUUAUGAAGGAGUACAAAAAUUCCAAUCUUUUUCAAGACAAUCAUGGGCCAGGUGGUGGCUCAGGAUCCGGCUCUCAUGGACCGGGUUACGGCGGUGGCAGUUCUAGCUCUGGAUUCCAAGGUAAUCAAGGCAAUCAAGGCAAUCAGGGUGGCUACCAUCAACAGUUAUGUCAGGGGAAUCAACAGCAGCAAUCUGGGUGUCAGAGUAACCCAAAGCAGUUGAAUAGUGGGUAGUACCACGUCUUCACCACAAGUUUGUGCAAACGGGAUCAGAAGCUUCAUAAAAGGGCAGUGAACGUCGUUGAACUGGCAGUUCCCCGUUACUUGCACUGGUCUGAGCAGCCCAUUGUGUGGAGUCGGGAAGAUCACACUAGUAGAAAAGGGGGCUUUGGUUCGGCCGGGUCAUCCCAUUAGUCCCGGUUCAGUCUAGAACCGGGACCCAUGGGGGCAUUGGUCCCGGUUCGUGAGCCCAGGGGGCCGGCCUGGCCACGUGGGCCAUUGGUUCCGGUUCGUCUGGAUCUUUUGGUCCCGGUUGGUGGGACGAACCGGGACCAAUGGGCCUGGCUCCUGGCCCACCACCAUUGGUCCCGGUUGGUAGCUUGAGCCGGGACCAAUGGCUGCCCUUUAGUCCCGGUUCAUGCCUCAAACCGGGACCAAUGGUGUGCCUAUAUAUAACCCUCGCCCGCGAGCAGAGCACUCUAGUGCUUUGUUUUUCUCUGGCCGGCGAGGGGAGGGCUUUGUGGUGCUCUAGCUCACCUCCUAUGCACAUGAGGUGUUCGAUGAAAUGCCCGAGCCACACUAGUUAAGCUUUCUCCUCUUGAAGCUCGACCUCGAAGCUCCAUUUUCCUCCAGAUUUGUCUAGGUUUAGCGGCCUGUCACGUCCCAUUCCCGUCUUCACCGCCGUCGAUUGCCCACGCCGAUCUCGUCGCCGGCACCACCGUGGUGAGCCUCUUGUUCUUAUCUUCUUUCUAAAAGAAAAAAAUUCUUACUUUAGAUAGAUACUUGUCUAAUUUUCUUACUAUUUUAUUGCUUGUUAUUAUAUAGUGCGAUGGUUUUGGUAUCCGCCCCCAUCGGCCCUCGUCCUGUCUAUGAUUCGGAUGUGGUAUAUAUUAUCUUUAUAACUAUUGGUUCAUUUAUUGUUUAUGAAAAUUAUGCCGACCAACGUGACAUAGAUUUUAUUUAUCUAGGAGGUAUGUGAACCGGAAAUUCCAACCGACCCUAUUGUCGAGAGAUUAAAUUUAGUUGAAGAAGAAAACAAUUUCUUGAAGGAAAAAAUAAAAAAAAUUGAGGAGGAGAAGAUGAUAUUGGAGUUGCAUGUUGCGGAUGUCGUCGAUGAUCACAAGAUCAAGAUGGAUGCAAUGCGCUUGAAGAUUAGAAAGAUUAGAAAAUAUGCCAUUCAUACCGAGGCUUGGUAUCAUUAUGCCGUUGGAUCAAUUGUUACCUUGGUUGCGAUUAUGAUUGCAUUUGUUUUCGCAUUGAAAUGUUUUACAUAGUUUCAAUGUAUGGUUUAAUUAAUUAGAUGCUCUGGAGAGCUAUAUGUUGUUAGAUAAGAACUAUGUAUGUACUUUGGUUUUAAUGUGAUGAUGAACGUCUAUUAAUUUGGUCACUUAAUUAUCUAUUCAUGAUGUUCUGUAAUGGUUUUGGACACACUUAAUUAUAUAUAAUGCACGCAGAUGAACCGGCAAUGGAUGUACGGUGACAGACACACCUCCGAGUACAUUAAGGGUGUGCAUGAUUUUCUCGAAGUGGCUGAGGCAAACAAGCAGAAUGUUUUUAUGUGUUGUCCAUGCCCUAAAUGUGGGAAUACGAAGUCUUACUCUGACCGGAAAAUCCUUCACACCCACCUGCUUUACAAGGGUUUCAUGCCACACUAUAAUGUUUGGACGAGGCACAGAGAAAUAGGGGUUAUGAUGGAAGACGGCGAAGAAGAAGAGGACGAUGACAACUAUGUGCCCCCUGAAUACGGUGAUGCUGCAAUGGGGGAAGCUGCUGAAGAUCAAGAGGAACCAGACAAUGUGCUCGAUGAUGAUGAUCUCCGCCGGGUCAUUGUCGAUGCAAGGACGCAAUGCGAAAGUCAAAAGGAGAAGCUGAAGUUCGAUCGCAUGUUAGAGGAUCACAAAAAAGGGUUGUACCCCAAUUGCGAAGAUGGCAACACAAAGCUCGGUACCGUACUGGAAUUGCUGCAGUGGAAGGCAGAGAAUGCUGUGGCUGACAAAGGAUUUGAGAAGCUACUAAAAAUAUUGAAGAUGAAGUUUCCAAAGAAUAACGAACUGCCCGACAGUACAUACGCAACAAAGAAGGUCAUAUGCCCUCUAGGAUUGGAGGUGCAGAAGAUAUAUGCAUGCCCUAAUGACCGCAUCCUCUACCGCGGUGCGUACAAGGAUCUGAACGCAUGCCCGGUAUGCGGUGCAUUGCGGUAUAAGAUUAGAUGAGAUGACCCUGGUGAUGUUGACGGCGAGCCCCCCAGGAACUGGGUUCCUGCGAAGGUGAUGUGGUAUGCUCCUAUAAUACCACGGUUGAAACGACUGUUCAGAAACAAAGAGCAUGCCAAGUUGAUGCGAUGGCACAGUGAGGGCCGUAAGAGAGACGGGAAGUUGAGAGCACCCGCUGACGGGUCACAGUGGAGAAAAAUUGAGAGAAAGUACUGGGCUGAGUUUGCAAGUGACCCAAGGAACGUGUGGUUUGCUUUAAGCGCGGAUGGCAUUAAUCCUUUCGGGGAGCAGAGCAGCAAUCACAGCACCUGGCCUGUGAUUCUAUGUAUGUAUAACCUUCCUCCUUGGAUGUGGACGAAGCGGAAGUUCAUUAUGAUGCCAAUUCUCAUCCAAGGCCCUAAGCAACCCGGCAACGACAUUGAUGUGUACCUAAGGCCAUUAGUUGAAGAACUUUUACAGCUGUGGAAUGGAAACGGUGUAGGUGCGUGGGAUGAGCACAAAUAGGAGGAAUUUAACCUGCACGCGUUGCUGUUUGUAACCAUCAACGAUUGGCCCGCUCUCAGUAACCUUUCAGGACAGACAAACAAGGGAUACCACGCAUGCACACACUAUUUAGGUGACACCGAAUGUAUAUACCUGGACAGAUGCAGGAAGAAUGUGUACCUGGGCCAUCGUCGAUUUCUCCCGACCAACCAUCAAUGUCGAAAGAAAGGCAAGCAUUUCAAAGGCGAGGCAGAUCACCGGAAGAAGCCCGCCAUGCGUACCGGUGAUCACGUACUUGCUAUGGUCAAUGAUUUACACGUAAUCUUUGGAAAGGGUCCCUGCGGACUAGCUGUUCCGAAUGAUGCUGAGGGACGCGCACCCAUGUGGAAGAAGAAAUCUAUAUUCUUCGACCUACCCUACUGGAAAGACCUAGAGGUCCGCUCUUCAAUCGACAUGAUGCACGUGACGAAGAACCUUGGCGUGAACCUGCUAGGCUUCUUGGGCGUGUAUGGGAAGACAAAAGAUACACCUGAGGCACGGGAGGACCUGCAACGUUUGCACGAAAAAGACGGCAUGCCUCCGAAGCAGUAUGAAGGUCCUGCCAGCUACGCUCUUACGAAAGAAGAGAAAGAAAUUUUCUUUGCAUGCCUGCUCAGUAUGAAGGUCCCGACUGGCUUCUCGUCGAAUAUAAAUGGAAUAAUAAAUAUGCCAAAGAAAAAGUUCCAGAACCUAAAGUCUCAUGACUGCCACGUGAUUAUGACGCAACUGCUUCCGGUUGCAUUGAGGGGGCUUCUACCGAAAAACGUCCGAUUAGCCAUUGUGAAGCUAUGUGCAUCCCUCAAUGCAAUCACUCAGAAGGUGAUCGAUCCAGAAAUCAUACCAAGGCUAAGGAGUGAUGUGGCACAAUGUCUUGUCAGUUUCGAGCUGGUGUUCCCACCAUCCUUCUUCAAUAUCAUGACACACGUCCUAGUUCAUCUAGCCGACGAGAUUGUCAUUCUGGGGCCCGUAUUUCUACACAAUAUGUUCCCCUUUGAGAGGUUCAUGGGAGUCCUAAAGAAAUAUGUCCGUAACCGCCCUAGGCCAGAAGGAAGCAUCUCCAUGGGCCAUCAAACAGAGGAUGUCAUUGGGUUUUGUGUUGACUUCAUUCCUGGUCUUAACAAGAUGGGUCUCCCUAAAUCGCGGUAUGAGGGGAGACUGACUGGAAAAGGCAUGCUUGGAGGGGACCCAAUAAUAUGCAGGGACGGAUAUUCUUGGUCUCAAGCACACUACACAGUUCUACAGAACUCUACCUUGGUGACCCCGUAUGUCGAUGAACACAAGAACAGUCUGCGCUCCAAACACCCGGAGCAGUGCGACGACUGGAUUACAUGUGAACACAUCAGGACUUUCAGCAGUUGGUUGGAAACACGUGUAGGAGGUGACAACAUUGUUUGUGAUGAGCUAUACUUGUUGUCCAGGGGACCAUCUUUGACUGUAUUGACUUACAAAGGAUACGAGAUAAAUGGGAAUACAUUUUACACGAUCGCCCAAGAUCAAAAGCGCACCAACCAAAACAGCGGUGUCCGCUUUGAUGCAGCAACCGAGAGGGGAAAGGACACAUAUUAUGGUUACAUAGUGGGCAUAUGGGAACUUGACUAUGGACAUGAUUUUAAGGUCCCUUUGUUUAAGUGCAGAUGGGUCAAUCUGUCAGGAUGCGGGGUAGAGGUAGACCCACAGUACGGAAUGACAACAGUGGAUCUGAAAAAUCUUGGGUACACCGACGAACCGUUCGUCCUAGCCAAUGAUGUGGCACAUGUUAUCUAUGUGAAGGACAUGUCUAACAAACCGAGAAAAAGAAAAGAUAAGGAAGCGAAUACAUCAUACGAUGAGCCAAAGUGCCACAUAGUUCUUUCAGGAAAAAAGGGACAUCGUGGGAGUGGAGGGCAAGACAGACAUGUCUGAAGAUUAUGAAAAGUUUCAUGAAAUUCCUCCCUUCAAAGUCAAGGCUGACCCAAGCAUCCUGAGAAACGAUGAAGAUUAUCCAUGGUUACGGCGCAAUAAGCAAAUGACACAAGCGAUGAAAAAGUGUAGACUUUCUCCCGCAACUAUUAUGAUGAUACCAUGCCAACUUUGUAACAGACGAGUAUGAUACCAUUGUCCGUUUUGUACAUGCACAUGGUAUGUGGAUGAAAUUAUGAUACUUUGUAACAGACUUUCUCCACGCACGAACUGGGACCAAUGCGCCUCGCCCCUGGACCAUGACCAUUAGUCCCGGUUAGUGCCACAAACUAGGACUAAAGAGUUGGUCCUCGUUGCGGUCAGAGUUUAGUCCCACCUUGCCAACCGAAGGGCGCUCACACCGGUUUAUAAGCCCGUCCCUCUCUGCCUUGUUGAGCUCCUCUCAAAGUGAGAAUAGAUGCCCUUAUACAGGGAAUUUGACCUAAAUUCAUAGUGAAUUUCUCUGAAAUUCAUAGAAAUUUAUUAUAAAUUUAGGUCGAAUUCUCUCUAUAGGCACAUCUAUGCUCAUUUUUUAGUAAAGUUAAUCACAAACUUGUGAUUCACACAAAUUUCAAAGAAUUCAAAUUUUAACUAUUUAAAUUUGAAAACUAAUGGCACUAAAAGAAAGUUUAUAUUUUUUCUAAAACUAAUGGCACUAACAGAAAGUUUAUAAUUUUGCUGACCUAAAAGCAAAAAGAAUUAAAAAAUAAAGCAAAAAACAAAAGAAAAUGAAUAAUGCAAAAAACAAAACAAAAAAACUGAAAAAACUAUUUUUAUACUAAAGUUAAUCACAAACUUGUUUUUCACACAAAUUUCAAAGAAUUCAAAUUUUAACUAUUCAAAUUNNNNNNNNNNNNNNNNNNNNNNNNNNNNNNNNNNNNNNNNNNNNNNNNNNNNNNNNNNNNNNNNNNNNNNNNNNNNNNNNNNNNNNNNNNNNNNNNNNNNNNNNNNNNNNNNNNNNNNNNNNNNNNNNNNNNNNNNNNNNNNNNNNNNNNNNNNNNNNNNNNNNNNNNNNNNNNNNNNNNNNNNNNNNNNNNNNNNNNNNNNNNNNNNNNNNNNNNNNNNNNNNNNNNNNNNNNNNNNNNNNNNNNNNNNNNNNNNNNNNNNNNNNNNNNNNNNNNNNNNNNNNNNNNNNNNNNNNNNNNNNNNNNNNNNNNNNNNNNNNAUUUGAAAACUAAUGGCACUAAUAGAAAGUUUGUAUUUUUUCUAAAACUAAUGGCACUAACAGAAAGUUUAUAAUUUUGCUGACCUAAAAGCAAAAAGAAUUAAAAAAUAAAGCAAAAAACAAAAGAAAAUAAAUAAUCCAAAAAAACAAAACAAAAAACUGAAAAAAAACUAUUUUUUAUAGUAAAGUUAAUCACAAACUUGUGAUUCACACAAAUUUAAUAGAAUUCAAAUUUUAACUAUUCAAAUUUGAAAACUAAUGGCACUAACAGAAAGUUUAUAAAUUUUCUGACCUAAAAGCAAAAAAAAUUAAAAAAUAAAGCAAAAAACAAAAGAAAAUAAAUAAUGCCAAAAACAAAACCAAAAAACUGGAAAAAAAACCCUGCCACCUGUUGGGCCACCACGGCCUGAAUACGACUAGAAACCCAACCUGGGCCAGGAUUCAGGUCCGCGGAAGGCCCAACCGGCCCACAGACAGCACAGUGUGACAUUAGGCCGUAAGCCUGCAUUUGAGAGGAGCUCGAGAGGGCAGCCGCAGUGGGGCUUAUAAACCACUCCGAGCCCCUCUCAACUAGCAAGGUGGGACUAAACUUUUGGCCGCGGACAGCGCAAGGCCUUUGGUACCGGUUCGUGGCACCAACCGGGACUAAAGGGGGCAUUGGUACCGGUUCGUGGCACCAACCGGGACCAAUGCCCACCCAUUUGUCCCAGUUGGUGCCACCAACCGGGACUAAAGGGGGCAUUGGUACCGGUUCGUGGCACCAACCGGGACCAAUGCCCACCCUUUUGUCCCGGUUGGUGCCACCAACCGGGACCAAAGGCCGCCGCUUCCCGCCCUUUGGGCUGCUGAAAAGGGACCUUUGNNNNNNNNNNNNNNNNNNNNNNNNNNNNNNNNNNNNNNNNNNNNNNNNNNNNNNNNNNNNNNNNNNNNNNNNNNNNNNNNNNNNNNNNNNNNNNNNNNNNNNNNNNNNNNNNNNNNNNNNNNNNNNNNNNNNNNNNNNNNNNNNNNNNNNNNNNNNNNNNNNNNNNNNNNNNNNNNNNNNNNNNNNNNNNNNNNNNNNNNNNNNNNNNNNNNNNNNNNNNNNNNNNNNNNNNNNNNNNNNNNNNNNNNNNNNNNNNNNNNNNNNNNNNNNNNNNNNNNNNNNNNNNNNNNNNNNNNNNNNNNNNNNNNNNNNNNNNNNNNNNNNNNNNNNNNNNNNNNNNNNNNNNNNNNNNNNNNNNNNNNNNNNNNNNNNNNNNNNNNNNNNNNNNNNNNNNNNNNNNNNNNNNNNNNNNNNNNNNNNNNNNNNNNNNNNNNNNNNNNNNNNNNNNNNNNNNNNNNNNNNNNNNNNNNNNNNNNNNNNNNNNNNNNNNNNNNNNNNNNNNNNNNNNNNNNNNNNNNNNNNNNNNNNNNNNNNNNNNNNNNNNNNNNNNNNNNNNNNNNNNNNNNNNNNNNNNNNNNNNNNNNNNNNNNNNNNNNNNNNNNNNNNNNNNNNNNNNNNNNNNNNNNNNNNNNNNNNNNNNNNNNNNNNNNNNNNNNNNNNNNNNNNNNNNNNNNNNNNNNNNNNNNNNNNNNNNNNNNNNNNNNNNNNNNNNNNNNNNNNNNNNNNNNNNNNNNNNNNNNNNNNNNNNNNNNNNNNNNNNNNNNNNNNNNAUAGAGGAGAAGAAGAAAAAAUAGAAAAUAUUCUAUUUUUUUCUUCUUCUCCUCUAUUCCUUUCUUCUUCACCUCUUUUUUCUUCUUCUUUUUUUUUUCUUCGAUCCUCUCUUCUAUUCCUUUCUUCUUCUCCUCUUUUUAUUUCUUCUUCGUUUUCUUAUGUUUUAUCGGGUCUGUCGUCGUCGAUAUAUACCCCUCCCGAUAACUUCAACACGAGGGGGGAUAACUUCAACACGAGGGGGGGUCGAUAUACCCCCUCCCCGAUAACAUUAUUUUCCCGUGUAUGUAUGUCGUCGUUGUCGAUAUAACCCCCUCCCGAUAACUUCAACACGUGGGGGGGCGAAAUACCCCCUCCCCGAUAACAUUAUUUUCCCGUGUAUGUAUGUCGUCGUUGUCGAUAUUACCCCCUCCCGAAUAACUUCGAUAUGAGGGGCGGUCGAUAUAUAUACCCCCUCUCGACUGUGAUAACUUAUACCACGGGAGCAACCCCCGACCCUCUCGCUCAACCAAGACUCUCGAGGACACCGAAACCCUAGAAAAAAAUGAUGUCGGUCUCCUACCGCCUCGCGCCGCGCCCCUACCCUUGAAGCGUUGCCGAGGCCACCCCCAACCCGGAAUAAGCUAGGUCUACGUUUGCCACUAAUAUAUCCACAUGCUGUCAUGUUUGUGUAAUAAUUGCCAUGUUGUAAUAUUUGCAGAAACAAUGGAGCACGGACGAGACGAGGAAGCAGAAGAGGUGCUGGGGGACAAUAUCUUAGCCGGAGGUGAUGUCAUGUCGUCGUAUCUUAAUGACAAUGAUGGUCUGGAAGAAUAGGGUGAAGAAGCAGGUUACGAUGAUUGAAGAAUGGAGGAGGAAAGACAUGAUUAUGAUGGCUCCGGUGACCCAAUGCUGGUGCAAGAAGGAGCCCGUGUUGACGGCUUCGGUGACCGAACAGAGUCCGGCCAGGUAAAUAUAUUAGGUAAGCCUGUGCUGACUAGCUAAUUGAUGCAUUCAUUGUUUUGGUAUGUACACAUAUUAAUUAACUCUCGUCUUUCUUCUUUUUUCUAGCCCUCCGGAUCGAGCACAACUUCGGUAAAGAGACGAGGCCCGAAGAAAAAGUUGCGCGCGGAUGAAAGGUUUGAGAUCACAGCAAUCGCGCGCGACGGCCAACCGAUUGAACCCAUCCGGACAAAGGAAGCCUUUUCUGCUCAGUGCAGGGUUCUUGUUAGGGACAAGAUCCCGAUCAGCAUCCACCAAUGGUAUAAGCCUAAGAACGAAUACCCUGAGGUGUCUUAUUUCAAUGAUAUGCAGAAAGAUGAUCUUUUGACUGAGCUGAAGGCAAAUUUCACCCUCCCGCCAGAGGAGGAUCCGAAGAAGCCAGUUAUAGAGCAAUUAAUCAAGUCUCAUGCUCUUAAGAAGAUGGCAGACCUAUUCAGGAGGUGGAAGAAUGAGCUGAAAAGGUUUGUUGACAAAGAAGAGACACGAGAAUUCAUCGGCAAAUAUGAGAAGAUCAGAUAUCAAUGGCCCGCAUUUCUGGCCCACAAGACAUCGGAGAAGAGUAAGAAGAUGUCGGCGACAAACAAGCAAAAUGCUGCGAAGAAGAAGCUUCACCAUCGCACGGGGUCAGGGGGCUACCUCAAAGCCCGGCCUAAGUGGGCCAAGGCUGAGAGGGAUCUGCUUGAUUAAGGGAUCGAACCAGAGACAAUGAACUGGCCAGACCGUUGCCAGACUUGGUUCUUCGGGGCUGGCGGGACCUUGGACCCUGUAUCAGGGAAGUGUCGUUGGACGGACGAGCAACUUGCAAUACCCGUCAAGAAGCUUAAGCACUAUAUCGAUGCAGCGCAGGAAGGGACGUUCGUUCCAGACAGAGAGAACGACGAGCUCACAAUGGCCCUCGGGAAUCCUGAGCACCCUGGACGGACACGGGGCACGCGAGGCUCUGUUCCGUGGAAGGCUGGUUUUCCGGACGCAGGCGGUUACAAAUGCCAGGAGUGGAGGCAAAAGUGGAGCAAAUCCAAAUUCAGGCGCUGCACGCAAGGGUACAAGCGAUUGAGGAACGAGAAGCAAAUCGCAGCAAGCGACCUGCCGAAACUACCCCCGAAGCUACCCCGCCAUCUCAGCGGAGAACCAGCCAGGCUUCCACCGAGCUGGUUCAGCCUGACUUCGCGGCUCCUGCUAGCCACCCCGUAGAUGCUAUCACGGAGUCUCAGCAUUGCCACCUUAUGACGCAGUGGAUGCAAUUGAAAGUCAAGGCGGCUGUUGGCUCUGUUGCACCUCCUGAACCUGGCGCAACUUUUCACUGCCGGCCGAUUCCAGAAGGAUAUUCUAGGGUGAUGGUGGAUGAAAUCACAGAAGGAUUUGAGGACCUCCAGCUUGACCACCCUACGGGUGAAGGGGAGACUCGGCUGGGUUCUUGUCUGAAGACUCCAUGCCUAUGGCGGAAGGAGCUCAUCAACCUUCCGAACUGGAUGCCUCCGCCUCCUCCUCCUCCUCCGGGGAGUCAGGGCACUCCGCCUCCUCCACCGCCUCCUCCUCCGGCGAGUGACGAUCAGGGCACUCAGCCUCCUUCUCCGGCGCGUGGCGGCACUCCGCCUCCUUCUCCGCCUGCGCUGGCGCGCCCAAGCAACCACCAGCCUCCUCCUUCUCCGCCUCGCCAGCAAGGGCGGAAGAGACACGCCGCCGCCACAGCUGCUCCGGCGCGUCGUACUCCUUCUCCUCCGCCUCGUAAGCAAGCACGAAAGAAGAAACCCGCAGCCGCCCCGUCUGCUCUGGCGUCUAGCAGUACAACCAGAGGCGUGAGGCAAUACAGAUACGGUCCACCUCUCAAGCCUCUAGAGAAGUUACCGUACGAGAGGACCCCAUACGAAACCGCGAAGAUCGUGUGGAUCGAGGUGAAGGACUUCUUUCAAGGGUUGAAAGCAAAGAGACAUCCACCUCCGGAGGAGAAGGUAGAUCCGGUGAAAGCAAAGCGCACUAUCGAUGCCCUGAGGAAACCACCAAAGUCUCCGCCGAAAACCAACUAUGAGCGCAUUACUGAAAAGGCAUAUCUUGAAGCGGAGCGGUCGGGAAGUACUGUCAGUGAUCAAAGGUUAAAAGACCGACCAGCUGGGAAAGAAAUUGCCCAGCUCGGAGAACAAGCGAACCAAUCAUUCCCCCCGCUCAAUGUGUCUAGCGACAUCGUCGCUAAUGCUCCGGGGAUGGUGCCUGGUUAUAGAAAUUCUGGAGAUUCCCUGCCCGACGAUGUACAUUAUGAUUUGUUGGAGGUGGACGAACACAUAUACGAGUACGGGAAGCCUCUCGUAAAAGAUGAAAAAUCUCUAACAACGAUGAUGCGAAGAUUCCAUAAUUGGUACAUGAAAACCUGCAGAGAGUCUGGGGGGACGAAUACUUUGUAUCUGAGAAUUAAAGAUGAGCACGACCUCAUUGGAACUGAUCUGUUGCCUGUUCCAUUUGAGGAGUUCUUUGCGUUUUUCAAUCAGAAGGCCCUCGAUAAAUUAACGGUCACUUGCUACUGUCUGUAAGUACUGCUUCUAUCAUUAAGUCUCUAUAUAUAGCUCAGCUCUUUCAUUGCAUGUAUUUAUAAUUGAAGGUCGUCGAGUGCAGAAAAGCAGAAAUGUAUGAUAUUGGGUUCAUUAACACAAAUCUCAUAGAUCAUUUUCAGGUUAAAAAGAACGCCGACAAGGCCGAGGCCAACUUGCUCAAAUCAUUAGUAAUAAAUCAAAACAAAGAUUUAAUAAUCUUUCCUUACAACUCUGAGUGAGUGUUACUGUCGUGUGCAUAUUCGGUUUCCCUUAUUACUCGAGCGAGGUUAUAGUAAUGUAAUUGAUGAGUUAUGCAUGCGUGCGCAGCUUCCACUAUAUUCUCCUGGAGAUUAAGCUUGAGCGGGGAGUAGUAACCGUCUUAGACUCGAGACGAAAAGAUCCCGAGACCUAUGCGGACAUGACUAAAAUUCUCAACAAGUAAGUUCAAUCGAUCAUUAUCGCACCAUAUCGGCAACUUUUUGUUCAUUUCCUAGUAUCUCAUGUAAUAAUUAUUUUCUUUGUCUUGCAGGGUUUGGAAACAGUUCACUACAGAAGCUCCGGGACUGCCGAAGGAGCUGCGAUAUACAUACCCGAAAGUAAGUACUACUAGCUAGCUAGUUGCGCGCAUCUCUCGUUGAUUCUAGCUACUUUCAUCAAUGCCAUUUAUAAUGCUUCAUUAUCAGUUUGAUUGACCUCUAUUUCUCAUAAAGUGCUUGUGGCAGGAACAAGGGAAUGAUUACUGUGGAUACUACGUGUGCGAGUUCAUCUACAACGCGACUUGCAAAGAUAACCGGGGCUACUCUAAAAGAUAACAUGAAGUGCGUAAGCAAUAAUAUUCACAAUUUCAUUUUAUUACACCAUCAUUUCUGUUGAGUUUCAUUCAUAUAUAUGUAUUAACCCCCUUCUUCAAAUUAGACGUGGGAGAUGCGGAAUGAACUCCUACCACAAGAUCGCAUGAAAGCAAUUCAAGAGGAAUUGGCGGGAUUCUUUCUUGACCACGUCAUCAAUAAAGCCGGAGAAUACCAUGUGGAAGUUGAGUUCAAAUGCUAGGGGAUUGUAAGAAAUCUUACAUAUUGUAUAUGUAUGUAGCCAGUAGCGUCGGAUAGAUAAUACGAAAACUUGUUGUUCGACCAAUCUCUCGGAGAAGGAGAGGUCGAUCACUUCUCUCGGUAUGCACGACGAACUUCUAUACUUAAUGGUUUCCUUCAUUUUUGUACUAGCUAGCGUGUCGAGGGCCUCUCUAUACGUAUAGUACCUAGCGUCGACCAAGCACGGAGAUAAGAGAGGACACUUUUCUCUCUAUUAAUUAAUUAGCUACCUAACACAAUAUAUGAAACACCUUAAUUAACCAUACAAAACCCCCAAAUCCACCCCCCUUUCAGAAAAAAAAAACAAAAA